rnacentral:rRNA from 1 species
GUGGGGAAUCUUCCGCAAUGGACGAAAGUCUGACGCAGCGACGCCGCGUGAGUGAUGAAGGCCUUAGGGUCGUAAAGCUCUGUUGAAUGGGAAGAAAAAAAUGACGGUACCAUUCGAGGAAGGACCGGCUAACUUCGUGCCAGCAGCCGCGGUAAUACGAGGGGUCCUAGCGUUGUUCGGAAUCAUUGGGCGUAAAGGGUGUGUAGGUGGCCAUGUAAGUCAGGUGUGAAAGCCCCGGGCUCAACCCGGGAAGUGCACUUGAUACUGCGUGGCUUGAGUACCGAAGAGGGUAGUGGAAUUCCAGGUGUAGUGGUGAAAUACGUAGAUAUCUGGAGGAACACCGGUGGCGAAGGCGGCUACCUGGUCGAGUACUGACACUGAGACACGAAAGCAUGGGGAUCAAACAGGAUUAGAAACCCGGGUAGUCC